rnacentral:rRNA from 1 species
AACGAACGCUGGCGGCAUGCCUAACACAUGCCAGUCGAACGAGACCUUCGGGUCUAGUGGCGCACGGGUGCGUAACGCGUGGGAACCUGCCCUUAGGUUCGGAAUAACUCCCCGAAAGGGGUGCUAAUACCGGAUAAUGUCUUCGGACCAAAGAUUUAUCGCCUUUGGAUGGGCCCGCGUUGGAUUAGCUAGUUGGUAGGGUAAAAGCCUACCAAGGCGACGAUCCAUAGCUGGUCUGAGAGGAUGAUCAGCCACACUGGGACUGAGACACGGCCCAGACUCGUACGGGAGGGAGCAGUGGGGAAUAUUGGACAAUGGGCGAAAGCCUGAUCCAGCAAUGCCGGGGGAGUGAUGCAGGCCGUAGGGUUGUAAAGCUCUUUUACCCGGGAUGAUAAUGACAGUACCGGGUGAAGAAGCUCCGGCUAACUACGUG